rnacentral:rRNA from 1 species
AGAGUUGUUGCGGUUAAAACGCUCGUAGUUGGGUUUCUGUCGGGAACAGCCGGUCUGUCCUGAGUGACAAGCUACCGGAUUGCCACCUGACAUCUUCUUGGGGAACGGGUGCGCACUUCACUGUGUGACCCGGAAACCUUGACGUUUACUUUGAGGAAAUGAGAGUACUUCAAGCGGGUGUUCGCCACGAAUAUGUUAGCAUGGAAUAAUAGUGCUGGACCUCGGAUCACAGCUGUUGGUUGCUGGAAUUGGGGUGAGGAUAAACAGGGACAGUUGGGGGCAUUCGUAUUUAACUGUCAGAGGUGAAAUUUUUGGAUUUGUUAAAGACGGACUACUGC